rnacentral:rRNA from 1 species
AACGAACGCUGGCGGCAUGCCUAACACAUGCAAGUCGAACGAGACCUUCGGGUCUAGUGGCGCACGGGUGCGUAACGCGUGGGAACCUGCCCUUAGGUUCGGAAUAACUCCCCGAAAGGGGUGCUAAUACCGGAUAAUGUCUUCGGACCAAAGAUUUAUCGCCUUUGGAUGGGCCCGCGUUGGAUUAGCUAGUUGGUAGGGUAAAAGCCUACCACGGCGACGAUCGAUAGCUGGCCUGAGAGGAUGAUCAGCCACACUGGGACUGAGACACGGCCCAGAAUACUACGGGAGGCAGGAGUGGGGAAUAUUGGACGAUGGGCGAAGGCCUGAUCCAGCUAUGCCGCGUGAGUGAUGAAGGCCUUAGGGUUGUAAAGCUCUUUUACCCGGGAUGAUAAUGACAGUACCGGGAGAAUAAGCACCGGCUAACUCCGUG